rnacentral:rRNA from 1 species
CGAACCGCUCAGUAACACGUUGACAACCUACCCUCAGGACGGGGCCAACUACGGGAAACCGUGGCUAAUCCCCGGUAGACGGCGACGCCUGGAAUGGUCCGUCGUCCAAAGCCAGCUCCGCAUGUGGAGCACGCGCCCGAGGAUGGGUCAGCGGCUGAUUAGGUUGUUGGUGGGGUAACGGCCCACCAAGCCGUCGAUCAGUACCGGCCGUGAAAGCGGGAACCGGGAGAUGGGCACUGAGACAAAGGCCCAGGCCCUACGGGGCGCAGCAAUCGCGAAACCUCUGCAAUCCGGGCAACCGGGACAGGGUUAUCCCUAGUGCCAUGCUAUCGCGUGGCUUUUGCCGACAGUAGGAACGUCGGAGAAUAAGGGGAGGGCAAGGCUGGUGCCAGCCGCCGCGGUAAAACCAGCUCCUCAAGUGGUCGGGAUGUUUAUUGGGCCUAAAGCAUUCGUAGCCGGCCUCGCAAGUUCUUGGUCAAAUCCAACCGCUCAACGGUUGGGCUGCUGAGAAUACUACGAGGCUUGGGAGCGGGAGAGGCCGAGGGUACUCCUAGGGUAGGGGUGAAAUCCUGUGAUCCUAGGGGGACCACCAGUGGCGAAGGCGCUCGGCUGGAACGCGUCCGACGGUGAUGGAUGAAAGCCAGGGGAGCGAACCGGAUUAGAUACCCGGGUAGUCCUGGCCGUAAACGAUGCGGGCUAGGUGUCGGCCCGGCUACGAGCCGGCCCGGUGCCGAAGCGAAGGCGUUAA